GAUUUCUGCCCAGUGCUCUGAA
rnacentral:ncRNA from 3 species